rnacentral:rRNA from 1 species
GUACACUCCUGCGGGAGGCAGCAGUGGGGAAUUUUGGACAAUGGGCGAAAGCCUGAUCCAGCAAUGCCGCGUGAGUGAAGAAGGCCUUCGGGUUGUAAAGCUCUUUUGUCAGGGAAGAAACGGUGAAAGCUAAUAUCUUUUGCUAAUGACGGUACCUGAAGAAUAAGCACCGGCUAACUACGUGCCAGCAGCCGCGGUAAUACGUAGGGUGCAAGCGUUAAUCGGAAUUACUGGGCGUAAAGCGUGCGCAGGCGGUUUUGUAAGUCUGAUGUGAAAUCCCCGGGCUCAACCUGGGAAUUGCAUUGGAGACUGCAAGGCUAGAAUCUGGCAGAGGGGGGUAGAAUUCCACGUGUAGCAGUGAAAUGCGUAGAUAUGUGGAGGAACACCGAUGGCGAAGGCAGCCCCCUGGGUCAAGAUUGACGCUCAUGCACGAAAGCGUGGGGAGCAAACAGGAUUAGAUACCCCUGUAGUCCCA